AUUUGUUUAACUAUGGCAAAAGGAAAUUUUAGUAGUUUAAUUGCAUAAAUUUUUUAUAUUUUUAUAAUUUAAGAUUUCAUUUUAAGUAUUAGCAGUUAAUUUUUUAAUAAAAUUUACGUUUUUUAAGAAACUAUUAAAAAAGGGGAAAGGUCACAGUGCCAGCAUCCGCGGUUAUUCUGUUUUCUUUGUUUUCUUAUAAGUUUAGAUUAAAUAAAUAUUAUUAAGGUUUGGUGAAAUUUUCUUAAAAAUUUUUAUAUAUGUUUAGUUUUAUUAAAGAUAGUUUAAUACAACAGGGAUUAGAUACCCCAUUAGUGACUAUUUUAUUAAUGCUUUAGUUUUAUAACUAAAAUAGUUUGGCAGCGAGUUACUCUUAUCGGGGGAAGGUGCGUUAUAAAGGAUGAUCCGCCUAAUAAUUAACCCAUUCUAUGUUGGUGUAUAUCUGGUUAUAUAUUAUUGUUUAAUAACAUAAUUUGUGUAAUUAAAUUUAAGCCAAGUCUAUGUGCUGCAUGUGUGGGUUAUCGUGCGUUACUUUUAUAAGAUUUAGAUUGUAAUAUUUAAUAAUUUAGGACUCGAAAGUAAUAUAUAAUGAGUUUGUAUAUGUGAAAUGGGUUUAGCUUGGGUACACACCGCCCGUCACCCUCGAUUUUUAUUGAGGUAAGUCGUAACAUGGUAACCCUAAAUGAAUUUAGGGUUAAUUAUAGGUUAUU
rnacentral:ncRNA from 1 species